rnacentral:rRNA from 1 species
CAAUAGCGUAUAUUAAAGUUGUUGCAGUUAAAAAGCUCGUAGUUGGAUUUGUGGCGUAUGGUGUGUUCCGGGCUUUUUGUCUGAGUAACUUGCCAUUGCCAUCCUUGGGUGGAACCUGUGUGGCAUUAGGUUGUCGUGCAGGGGAUGCCCAUCGUUUACUGUGAAAAAAUUAGAGUGUUCAAAGCAGGCUUAUGCCGUUGAAUAUAUUAGCAUGGAAUAAUGAGAUAGGACUUUUUUGCUAUUUUGUUGGUUUGCGCAAGAAGGUAAUGAUUAAUAGGGACAGUUGGGGGUAUUCGUAUUCCAUUGUCAGAGGUGAAAUUCUUGGAUUUUUGGAAGACGAACUACUGCGAAAGCAUUUACCAAGGAUGUUUUCAUUAA